rnacentral:rRNA from 1 species
GUGAGUAGUUCAGAGUUUGAUCCUGGCUCAGGAUGAACGCUGGCGGCGUGCUUAACACAUGCAAGUCGAACGAUUAAGCCACCUUCGGGUGGGUAUAGAGUGGCGAACGGGUGAGUAACACGUGACCAACCUGCCCCGCGCUCCGGGACAACCGCUGGAAACGGCGGCUAAUACCGGAUACUCCGCGCAUCCCGCAUGGGACGCGCGGGAAAGCCAUUACGGCGCGGGAUGGGGUCGCGGCCCAUUAGGUAGUAGGCGGGGUAACGGCCCACCUAGCCACGAUGGAUAGGGGUUCUGAGAGGAAGGUCCCCCACACUGGAACUGAGACACGGUCCAG